GAUGAAGAACGCAGCGAAAUGCGAUAAGUAAUGUGAAUUGCAGAAUUCAGUGAAUCAUCGAAUCUUUGAACGCACCUUGCGCUCCUUGGUAUUCCGAGGAGCAUGCCUGUUUGAGUGUCAUUAAAUUCUCAACCAUUAUCAACUUUUGCUGAUAAUGGCUUGGAUGUGGGGGUCUAUUUUGCUGGCUUCUCAGAUAGUCAGCUCCCCUUAAAUGCAUUAGCCGGUGCCCCGCGUGGACUGUCUAUUGGUGUGAUAAUUAUCUACGCUAUAGACAUCUGCAAUCAUAUGGGUUUGCGCUGCUUCUAACAGUCUGUUGAUUCAGACAAUACAUGACAAUUUGACCUCAAAUCAGGUAGGACUACCCGCUGAACUUAAGCAUAUCAUAAGCGGAGGA
rnacentral:misc_RNA from 1 species